AGGGGUAUAGUUCAGUUGGUAGAACGUCGGUCUCCAAAACCGGAUGUCGAGGGUUCAAGUCCUUCUGCCCCUG
rnacentral:tRNA from 2 species